GAUUAUGGCUCAGGACGAACGCUGGCGGCGUGCCUAACACAUGCAAGUCGAGCGGAGAAUGCGGACAUGUUACAUGGAAGUAUCUUAGCGGCGGACGGGUGAGUAACACGUGGGUAACCUGCCUCAAAGAGGGGGAUAGCCUUCCGAAAGGAAGAUUAAUACCGCAUAAGCCUGCAGUACCGCAUGGUACAGCAAGGAAAAGGAGCAAUCCGCUUUGAGAUGGACCCGCGGCGCAUUAGCUAGUUGGUGAGGUAACGGCUCACCAAGGCGACGAUGCGUAGCCGACCUGAGAGGGUGAUCGGCCACAUUGGAACUGAGAUACGGUCCAAACUCCUACGGGAGGCAGCAGUGGGGAAUAUUGGGCAAUGGAGGAAAAACCUCUUACCCAGCAAUGCCGCGUGAGUGAAGAAGGUCUUCGGAUUGUAAAGCUUCUUUGAGUUGGGGACGAAUAAAUGACCGGUACCCAAGGAACAACGCCCCGGCUAACUAUGUGCCAGCCGCGGC
rnacentral:rRNA from 1 species